rnacentral:rRNA from 1 species
UUCCAGACUCCUACGGGAGGCAGCAGUGAGGAAUAUUGGUCAAUGGCCGAGAGGCUGAACCAGCCAAGUCGCGUGAGGGAUGACGGCCCUACGGGUUGUAAACCUCUUUUGCCGGGGAGCAGAGAGCGGGACGCGUCCCGCCUCGAGAGUACCCGGAGAAAAAGCAUCGGCUAACUCCGUGCCAGCAGCCGCGGUAAUACGGAGGAUGCGAGCGUUAUCCGGAUUUAUUGGGUUUAAAGGGUGCGUAGGCGGAAUAUCAAGUCAGCGGUAAAAAUUCGGGGCUCAACCCCGUCGUGCCGUUGAAACUGGCGGCCUCGAGUGGGCGAGAAGUAUGCGGAAUGCGUGGUGUAGCGGUGAAAUGCAUAGAUAUCACGCAGAACUCCGAUUGCGAAGGCAGCAUACCGGCGCCCGACUGACGCUGAGGCACGAAAGCGUGGGUAUCGAACAGGAUUAGAUACCCCCGUACU